UACAGAGGGGGCAAGCGUUGUUCGGAAUUACUGGGCGUAAAGGGCGCGUAGGCGGCCAACUAAGUCGGACGUGAAAUCCCCGGGCUCAACCCGGGAACUGCGUCCGAUACUGGAUGGCUUGAAUCCGGGAGAGGGAUGUGGAAUUCCAGGUGUAGCGGUGAAAUGCGUAGAUAUCUGGAGGAGUACCGGUGGCGAAGGCGGCAUCCUGGACCGGCAUUGACGCUGAGGAGCGAAAGCUAGGGGAGCAAACAGG
rnacentral:rRNA from 1 species